rnacentral:rRNA from 1 species
CCUACGGGUGGCAGCAGUGGGGGAUAUUGCACAAUGGGGGAAACCCUGAUGCAGCGACGCCGCGUGGGUGAAGAAGCGCCUCGGCGCGUAAAGCCCUGUCAGCAGGGAAGAAAAUGACGGUACCUGAAGAAGAAGCCCCGGCUAACUACGUGCCAGCAGCCGCGGUAAUACGUAGGGGGCAAGCGUUAUCCGGAUUUACUGGGGGUAAAGGGGGCGCAGAGGGCGCUGCAAGCCAGGAGUGAAAGUCCGGGGCCCAACCCCGGGACUGCGCUUGGAACUGCGUGGCUAGAGUGCAGGAGGGGCAGGCGGAAUGCGUGGUGUAGCGGUGAAAUGCGUAGAUAUCAGGAGGAACACCGGUGGCGAAGGCGGCCUGCUGGACUGCAACUGACGCUGAGGCCCGAAGGCGUGGGGAGCAAACAGGAUUAGAUACCCUGGUAGUC